rnacentral:autocatalytically_spliced_intron from 1 species
CGAGAUAGAUGUUUUUGAACGUCUAUAAUAUGCCAGGCCCCCAUAAAAUGGGGUGAUGAUAUAGUCCAAUUAGUUCGCCAAAAACUU